rnacentral:rRNA from 1 species
CGGGUGCUAUACAUGCAGUCGAGCGAAUGGAUUAAGAGCUUGCUCUUAUGAAGUUAGCGGCGGACGGGUGAGUAACACGUGGGUAACCUACCCAUAAGACUGGGAUAACUCCGGGAAACCGGGGCUAAUACCGGAUAAUAUUUUGAACUGCAUAGUUCGAAAUUGAAAGGCGGCUUCGGCUGUCACUUAUGGAUGGACCCGCGUCGCAUUAGCUAGUUGGUGAGGUAACGGCUCACCAAGGCGACGAUGCGUAGCCGACCUGAGAGGGUGAUCGGCCACACUGGGACUGAGACACGGCCCAGACUCCUACGGGAGGCAGCAGUAGGGAAUCUUCCGCAAUGGACGAAAGUCUGACGGAGCAACGCCGCGUGAGUGAUGAAGGCUUUCGGGUCGUAAAACUCUGUUGUUAGGGAAGAACAAGUGCUAGUUGAAUAAGCUGGCACCUUGACGGUACCUAACCAGAAAGCCACGGCUAACUACGUGCCAGCAGCCGCGGUAAUACGUAGGUGGCAAGCGUUAUCCGGAAUUAUUGGGCGUAAAGCGCGCGCAGGUGGUUUCUUAAGUCUGAUGUGAAAGCCCACGGCUCAACCUCAGCAGGGUCAUUGUAAACUGGGAGACUUGAGUGCAGAAGAGGAAAGUGGAAUUCCAUGUGUACCCCUGAAAAUGC